ensembl:lncRNA novel transcript
CCAUGUAGGAUGUGCCUGCUUCCCCUCUGCCAUGAUUUUAAGUUUCCUGAGGCUCCCCCAGUCAUCUUUCCUGUACAGCCUAUGGAACCAUGAGCCAGUUAAACCUCUUUUCUUUAUAAAAUGCCAAGUCUCAGCUUUAAUGCUAUCAAUGAGAACAAGAAUAUUUGGCUUAUCUUCAACAUCUUCAUACCAUCAGAUAACUCCAAAGUUAACACAGGAUACGUCAUCCACAUUGCUGCCAGAGCAUUCUCUCUGAAAUGAUUAUCUGAUCAUCAUCCUCUCUUCUUCUCCACAAGCUCAAACACUUUCAGUGACUGAUUUGAAACCAGUUGUACCGUAUUAUUAGGAAAGGCGCCUUGAUGAAAAGAU